UUUGCAUCUAAGUUGAUUUUUCUCCGUUUUAAGGUGUGUUAUGGCCUUUAGAAAUACUGUUUUUCAAGUUUAAUACCCCCAGUAGAAGUUUACUACCUCUAGUAAACUUUAGUAAAAAUUUUACUAACCCCAGUAAACUUUAUUUUUUUGCAUCUAAGUUGAUUUUUCUCCGUUUUAAGGUGUGUUAUGGCCUUUAGAAAUACUGUUUUUCAAGUUUAAUACCCCCAGUAGAAGUUUACUACCUCUAGUAAACUUUAGUAAAAUUUUUACUAACCCCAGUAAACUUUAUUUUUUUGCAUCUAAGUUGAUUUUUCUCCGUUUUAAGGUGUGUUAUGGCCUUUAGAAAUACUGUUUUUCAAGUUUAAUACCCCCAGUAGAAGUUUACUACCUCUAGUAAACUUUAGUAAAAUUUUUACUAACCCCAGUAAACUUUAUUUUUUUUGCAUCUAAGUU